CAACAAUUGCAUUGUCCUUAGGUUUGAGUUUGCCAGUUGGUGGCACAAAGGAAAGACAAGAUGAUGAACUGCAGAGGAGAAUGAUUAGAGAUGUGUCUCCCAAUGAUAUCUCCAUGAAGAGGGCCUAUGCACUUCUCCAGCCAAUGGAGUCCAAGUUGAUCCAAGCUGCUAAAGAAGCACAACUGGAAACCAAGUGGAAGCUGAGGCAGCUAUUCAGAAACUUGCAGAUGUUAAAUUGCCCCUGAACGGACCCGAACAGCUCAAAACCUGCCUGACGCUGGGCGACCAGCCCGCCAAGCAGACGUCUGCCGACCUGACGCUGGGCGACCAGCCCGCCAACCUGACGUCGGCCAACCUGACGUCGGCCAACCUGACGCUGGGCGACCAGCCCGCCAACCUGACGCUGGGCGACCAGCCCGCCAACCAGACG